GCAGACACAUUCCAGCCAAUCAGCAGCAGACCCUCCCUCCUAGGCCCUCCCACCUCCUGGACAGCAUCCAUUUUGAAGCUGCAUUCUUAGUGAGCUGUCCAGGAGGUGGGAGGGUCUGGGAGGGAGGGUCUGCUGCUGAUUGGCUGGAAUGUGUCUG